AACGAACGCCGGCGGCAUGCCUAACACAUGCAAGUCGAACGAGACCUUCGGGUCUAGUGGCGCACGGGUGCGUAACGCGUGGGAACCUGCCCUUAGGUUCGGAAUAACUCAGAGAAAUUUGAGCUACUACCGGAUAAUGUCUUCGGACCAAAGAUUUAUCGCCUUUGGAAGGGCCCGCGUAGGAUUAGCUUGUUGGUGGGGUAAUGGCCUACCAAGGCGACGAUCCUUACCUGUUCUGAGAGGAUGAUCAGCCACACGUGGACUGAGACACGGCCCAGACUCCUACGGGAGGCAGCAGUGGGGAAUAUUGGACAAUGGGCGAAAGCCUGAUCCAGCAAUGCCGCGUGAGUGAUGAAGGCCUUAGGGUUGUAAAGCUCUUUCACCGAUGAAGAUAAUGACGGUAGUCGGAGAAGAAGCCCCGGCUAACUUCGUGCCAGCCGCCGCAGUAACAC
rnacentral:rRNA from 1 species